rnacentral:rRNA from 1 species
CAGCAGCAAGGAAUUUUGGGCAAUGGGCGAAAGCCUGACCCAGCAACGCCGCGUGAGGGAUGAAGGCCUUCGGGUCGUAAACCUCUUUUCUCAGGGAAGAAAAAAAUGACGGUACCUGGGGAAUAAGUCUCGGCUAACUACGUGCCAGCAGCCGCGGUAAUACGUAGGAGGCGAGCGUUAUCCGGAUUUAUUGGGCGUAAAGAGAGCGUAGGCGGUUUGUCAAGUCGGAUGUGAAAUCUCCCGGCUCAACUGGGAGGAGUCAUUCGAUACUGAUGGGCUAGAGUGCAGCAGGGGAAAACGGAAUUCCCGGUGUAGUGGUGAUAUGCGUAGAUACCGGGAGGAACACCAGAGGCGAAGGCGGUUUUCUAGGCUGUUUCUGACGCUGAGGCUCAAAAGCGUGGGGAGCGAACAGGAUUAGAUACCCUGGUAGUCCACGCCGUAAACGAUGGACACUAGGUAUAGGGAGUAUCGACCCUCUCUGUGCCGAAGCUAACGC